ensembl:lncRNA
GUGUGUGUGUGUGUGUGUGUGUGUGUGUGUGUAGAUCAGGUGGAGAGACUACAGCAGCAUCCCACAGUGGAGAUAGUCUAGACUAGGAGGGUGUGUGUGUGUGUGGGGGGGGUUGUGUGUGUGUGUGUGUGUGUGUGUGUGUAGAUCAGGUGGAGAGACUACAGCAGCAUCCCACAGUGGAGAUGGUCUAGACUAGGAGGGUGUGUGUGUGUGUGUGUAUGUGUGUGUGUGUAGAUCAGGUGGAGAGACUACAGCAGCAUCCCACAGUGGAGAUAGUCUAGACUAGGAGGGUGUGUGUGUAUGUGUGUGUGUGUAGAUCAGGUGGAAAGACUACAGCAGCAUCCCACAGCGGAGAUAGUCUAGAGUAGGAGAGUGUGUGUGUUUGUGUGUGUGUGUGUGUGUGUGUGUGUGUGUGUGUAGAUCAGGUGGAGAGACUACAGCAGCAUCCCACAGCGGAGAUAGUGCAGACUAGGAGGGAGAGAGAGGCUGCCUUGCCAGGUGUUUGCACAUUUAGUUUCCGUUUAGUUUAGACAUGCACUAUCUGUAGCCCAGUUUUAUUGAUAUUGGGAAUUUGAUAUGUAUUUAGUCGUGAUGAUGAGUUAUGUUUAGUUAUGUUGGCUGGCUUGGUGCAUGGGGAGUUUUAUCUAUACAUUAAAGCAUAGUAAGGGUGGCAGGACACAAUAACACCAGUAAUGUGUAUGAGAAUUGUGUUUCUGUUUAGUUUUGAUGAGUUAUGUUUAGUAAUGUUGCGUGACAUGGUGCAUGUGAAUAUUAGUUCUACAUGAUAGCAAGAGUGGCAGGAUACACAAGCGUGCACAACUGGCUGGCGACAGCCACAACACAUGCCAUAUUGUUAAAGAAAGUAUUAGUAUAUUUUAUCAUGAAUGUUUUAGCUAAAAGGCUUGUUCAAAAUGUUGUGUGUAAAGUGUGUAGGUUGAUUUUGGAAAAACACUGAGUGAGCCAAGAAUGUGAACUCACGUGAUGUUUUUCUGACAGAAGGAGAGAGCGGGUUGUAAAAUGACUCGUUGCUAAGCAGAAGUAGAAUGCAGCUGAAAUGCAGUAACCCUAAGUGUAUCCCAGCAUCCUGACUGCCAUCCUGUGU